rnacentral:rRNA from 1 species
CAGCAGCCGCGGUAAUACGAAGGGGGCUAGCGUUGCUCGGAAUCACUGGGCGUAAAGGGUGCGUAGGCGGGUCUCUAAGUCAGGGGUGAAAUCCUGGAGCUCAACUCCAGAACUGCCUUUGAUACUAAAGAUCUUGAGUUCGGGAGAGGUGAGUGGAACUGCGAGUGUAGAGGUGAAAUUCGUAGAUAUUCGCAAGAACACCAGUGGCGAAGGCGGCUCACUGGCCCGAUACUGACGCUGAGGCACGAAAGCGUGGGGAGCAAACAGGAUUAGAUACCCCCGUAGUCCCUGUCUCUUAUAC